AGCCUUUGGAAACGAAGAUUAAUACCCCAUAGUCUAUGAACGUGGCAUCCGAUCAUAGUAAAGGUUACGGUAUAAGAUGAGUAUGCGUCCUAUUAGUUAGUUGGUAAGGUAACGGCUUACCAAGACGACGAUAGGUAGGGGCCCUGAGAGGGGGAUCCCCCACACUGGUACUGAGACACGGACCAGACUCCUACGGGAGGCAGCAGUGAGGAAUAUUGGACAAUGGGGGCAACCCUGAUCCAGCCAUGCCGCGUGCAGGAAGACGGCCCUAUGGUUGUAAACUGCUUUUAUACAGGAAGAAACACUCUCACGUGUGAGAGCUUGACGGUACUGUAAGAAUAAGGACCGGCUAACUCCGUGCCAGCAGCCGCGGUAAUACGGAGGGUCCGAGCGUUAACCGGAAUCAUUGGGUUUAAAGGGUCCGUAGCGGGCUAUUAAGUCAGAGGUGAAAGUUUGCGGCUCAACCGUAAAAUUGCCUUUGAUACUGGUAGUCUUGAAUUAAUAUGAAGUGGUUGGAAUGUGUAGUGUAGCGGUGAAAUGCAUAGAUAUUACACAGAACACCAAUUGCGAAGCAGAUCACUAAUAUUAUAUUGACGCUGAGGGACGAAAGCGUGGGUAGCGAACAGGAUUAGAUACCCUGGUAGUCCACGCCGUA
rnacentral:rRNA from 1 species